AGUAACACUUCUUUGACCCCUUGAAGUUAGGCAUUACAGCAGGAGUUGUCUUGUUCCCUGUGGCCAGUGUGUGAUUCACCUUAUUUCUUUCCCGGCUGUGUUGGUCACAGAAGCUGGUGACAAGAUGGAAUUUCAGUCAGCUUGGUCUUGUUUGGACAUAUAGAUGUGAAUGAGAAAUACAUCUGGAUGCUGUGUCAUUUCAGACUAUCUGUGAGAAUAACUCUGGAGAAUUAUCCUGACUCAGAUUGAAUGAUGAGUAAUGUGUGCUUUGGAAAAAAUUCAAUAUACCUAUAUUUUAUUUUCUGCCUGGUGCUCUAAAGUAUAAGGUUUUUGGAAUUAUGUAACUACUAUCUGCAGUUUUUAAUAGAAGCACCUUGUAAGGAAUCCCAUGAUAUGCAAAGUUAGAGUCUCAACUGAUUGCGGCUUCAGAGUGUUACCUCGAGGAAAAUGCUGGCUUUGACCAUCGAUUUUUUUUUCAUAUGGACAGGUGUUUGUUUAGUUUCCUGAAUGUGAAUGCACAUGUACAUUAAGCUUCUUAAUUUUCAUAAUACUGUAUUCUACUAUCCACAAGUCUGAUUUUCAAGAUUAUUAUGUCUAUCUGUAAUAGUAAAAUAUUAACUCCAACUUCUUGUUAGAGUAUAUAAUCU